UACGGGGGGGGCAAGCGUUGUUCGGAAUUACUGGGCGUAAAGGGCGUGUAGGCGGCCAACUAAGUCCGACGUGAAAUCCCCAGGCUUAACCUGGGAACUGCGUCGGAUACUGGAUGGCUUGAAUCCGGGAGAGGGAUGCAGAAUUCCAGGUGUAGCGGUGAAAUGCGUAGAUAUCUGGAGGAAUACCGGUGGCGAAGGCGGCAUCCUGGACCGGCAUUGACGCUGAAGCGCGAAAGCUAGGGGAGCAAACGGG
rnacentral:rRNA from 1 species